GGGUUAAGUCCCGCAACGAGCGCAACCCUUAUCUUUAGUUACCAUCAUUCAGUUGGGGACUCUAAAGACACUGCCCCGGUCAACGGGGAGGAAGUGGGGAUGACGUCAAGUCCUCAUGGCCCUUAUGUCCAGGGCUACACACGUGCUACAAUGGGCAGUACAAAGGGUAGCAAGCCUGCGAAGGUGAGCCAAUCCCAAAAAGCUGUUCGUAGUUCGGAUUGGAGUCUGCAACUCGACUCCAUGAAGCUGGAAUCGCUAGUAAUCGCGGAUCAGCAUGCCGCGGUGAAUACGUUCCCGGGCCUU
rnacentral:rRNA from 1 species